AACAUCAAGUUAGCACCUUAAUUUUGGGAUAUUGGAUGGACAAAAAUGCACUGAUGAGUGGUGGAGAGAAAAUGCACCUAAGAAAGCCUCACGAUGAAUCAGAGAAUCAUUGAGAAAAAUAUUUCAAAGAGUCCUUCUACACGAAGCAUCUCUCAAAUUUUUUUUGAUGAUUGUCAUGUGUCAAAAGGUUCUAGAUAGGAGUGGGAUUUCAUCAGGGAGUGAGAAAUUUUGAUGGAUGCGAGAUGGUGUGUAAUGUCAAAAGGUUCCAGAUAGGAGUGGGAUUUCAUCAGGGGGUGUGAGAAAUUUUGAUGGAUGCGAGAUGAUGUGUGGAGAGGGCACGAGACAAGUCCAAAGGCAACCUAUUGCUUAACUAUUUAAAGGGGGUGCAUCGGGGAUUUAUUUCAUUCAUAAAUUCAUUUCUAUCUCUUCUUUCUUACAUACUCUCCCUAUUAUCCAAUUUGUCUCUUCUUUCUUUUGUUAGGACAAGUUCAAAAAUAGUAAGGACAAGUCCGAUUUUAGGACAAAAGCCUAGAAAGAGAUUUAAGGAAGACAAAGAGAGAAGAAAGAUAAGGAUAGGAAGGCU
rnacentral:lncRNA from 1 species